GCUGAACUGACUCGGUAGCGAGCGGGAGGCAAACUGAAGCAGCUUCUGCGGACGGAGAUUCGGAAUCUGAGGAGAGAAAAAGGUGGAGGCUGGUGAAAGUUGUUCUGCAAAGUCUCUGGAGCGGGCAGCAAAUUGGCAAAAAGUUUCGUUUUGGUGGACCAGUGCAGUUUGGCGACGAGAACAGAGAAAAUAGAAAGGAGAAGAAGAAAAGAAUCACAAUUAUUAACAUUACCAAAAACAUGAUGAAUGAAAACAGUAAAGAGGAAGGAAAAGCAGAGACUGGCCCACAGCCUUCGGAUGGGGGAGCAGCUGGCACCAGUAUUGACUCUCCUGUUGAGGGGGAAGAAGAAGCCCUGGCAGUGUUUGACGUGCUUGAAGAAAUUGAAGAAUUGUAUGAAGAUGGAGAUGAUCAGUUUGUAGACGUAUCCCUGGCAAGGGAGGAUGAUAUGGAUGCUCUGUUCCCAAUGUUGGCAGCAACUCUAGAAAGCGAUCAGGAGGAUCAGGAGGGGCAAGAGGAUC